GGCUCAGGACGAACGCUGGCGGCGUGCUUCAUACAUGCAAGUCGAACGAGAAGUACCUUCGGGUAAUGGAAAGUGGCGGACGGGUGAGUAAAAUGUAGAGAAUCUGCCCUAGAGAGAGGGACAACAGUUGGAAACGACUGCUAAUACCUCAUAUGCGCGUAGUUGAGAUACUAUUCGUGAAAACUCCGGUGCUCUGGGAUGAGUCUGCAUCUGAUUAGCUAGUUGGCGGUGUAAUGGACCACCAAGGCGACGAUCAGUAGCUGGUUUGAGAGGAUGAUCAGCCACAAUGGGACUGAGACACGGCCCAUACUCCUACGGGAGGCAGCAGUAGGGAAUUUUGCGCAAUGGGGGAAACCCUGACGCAAGCAACGCCGCGUGAUUGAAUAAGCCCUUCGGGGUGUAAAGAUCUGUCAGUAGGGACGAAACUUGACGGUACCUACAGAGGAAGCAUCGGCUAACUCCGUGCCAGCAGCAGC
rnacentral:rRNA from 1 species